GACGAACGCUGGCGGCGUGCUUAACACAUGCAAGUCGAACGGAGUGGCGAACGGGUGAGUAACACGUGGGUGACCUGCCCUGCACUUCGGGAUAAGCCUGGGGAACUGGGUCUAAUACCGGAUAGUGUGGGAUGGGCCCGCGGCCUAUCAGCUUGUUGGUGGGGUAAUGGCCUACCAAGGCGGCGACGGGCAGCCGGCCUUGGAGGGUGGACGGCCCCAUUGGGACUGAGACACGGCCCAGAGGCAUACGGGGGGCAGCGGUGGGGAAUAUGGCACAAUGGGCGGAAGCGUGAUGCGGCGACGCCGCGUGGGUGAUGACGGCCUUCGGGUUGUAAACUCCUUUCACCAUCGACGCGGUAGAUGGAGAAGAAGCACCGGCUAACUACGUGCCAGCAGCCGCGGUAAUAC
rnacentral:rRNA from 1 species